CUUUCACGGUUCGUAUUCGUAC
rnacentral:siRNA from 1 species